rnacentral:rRNA from 1 species
UACGUAGGGGGCAAGCGUUGUCCGGAUUUAUUGGGCGUAAAGAGCGUGUAGGCGGCCAGACAGGUCUGCUGUGAAAACUCGAGGCUCAACCUCGAGACGCCGGUGGAAACCGUCUGGCUAGAGUCCGGAAGAGGAGAGUGAAAUUCCUGGUGUAGCGGUGAAAUGCGCAGAUAUCAGGAAGAACACCCGUGGCUAAGGCGGCUCUCUGGGACGGUACUGACGCUGAGACGCGAAAGCGUGGGGAGCGAACGGG